AAUCUUCCGCAAUGGACGAAAGUCUGACGGAGCAACGCCGCGUGAGUGAUGAAGGUUUUCUCAUCGUAAAACUCUGUUGUUAGGGAAGAACAAGUGCCGUUCAAAUAGGGCGGCACCUUGACGGUACCUAACCAGAAAGCCACGGCUAACUACGUCCCAGCAGCCGCGGUAAUACGUAGGUGGCAAGCGUUGUCCGGAAUUAUUGCGCGUAAAGGGCUCGCAGGCGGUUUCGUAAGUCUGAUGUGAAAGCCCCCGGCUCAGCCGGGGAGGGUCAUUGGAAACUGGGGAACUUGAGUGCAGAAGAGGAGAGUGGAAUUCCACGUGUAGCGGUGAAAUGCGUAGAGAUGUGGAGGAACACCAGUGGCGAAGGCGACUCUCUGGUCUGUAACUGACGCUGAGGAGCGAAAGCGUGGGGAGCGAACAG
rnacentral:rRNA from 1 species